GGCCUUAUGGUCUAGUAGCAUGAUUUUCCCUUUGGGUUGGCUUUCGGGCUACACAUGGGAGAGGUCACGGGUUCAAUUCCCGUUGAGGCCC